GUCUUUUUACUACUUUUGAACUUCUUGACUAUAUCAGUAUAUAUUAAAUAGGCUGACAUCUUGUAAUUAGAUCAUGCUACUAAAUUUAGCUCAAUACGAUAAAGUUUCCAACCACUAGCGAAUUAAAACUACCUUUACUUAAUUUUAUCCGACAUUAAUUAAAUUGGAUCCGCCUCAACUCAGAACAUGACAAGAAACAAAUAACGAAUCAGUCGGAAUAAAUCUAUAUGACUGGAC